rnacentral:rRNA from 1 species
UAUGGAGCUUUAAACAUAUAAUCAACUGCAUAAUAAAAAUCCGAAAGAUUAAAUAUUAAAUAAAACAGUAUGAUCAAAAUUUUAGGUUGGGGCGACCACGGAGAAAAGUAUAACCUCCGAGAUGAAGAGAAUAUCUUAAUUUAAGAACUACAGUUCUAAGAAAUAAAAUAUUUAACAUAAUUGAUCCAAUAUAUUGAUCAACGAACCAAGUUACCCUAGGGAUAACAGCGCAAUCCUCUCCAAGAGUCCCUAUCGACGAGUGGGUUUACGAC